AGAACGAACGCUGGCGGCGUGCUUAAGGCAUGCAAGUCGUGCGAGAAAGCCACCUUCGGGUGGUGAGUACAGCGGCGCACGGGUGAGUAACGCGUGGGUAAUCUGCCUUCGGGUCUGGGACAACACCGGGAAACUGGUGCUAAUACCGGAUAAGACCACGAUGACUGCGGUCGAUGCGGAAAAAGGUGGCCUCUCCUUGGAAGCUACCGCCCGAUGAUGAGCCCGCGUCCCAUUAGCUUGUUGGUGGGGUAAAAGCCUACCAAGGCUUCGAUGGGUAGCUGGUCUGAGAGGACGAUCAGCCACACUGGAACUGAGACACGGUCCAGACUCCUACGGGGGGCAGCAGCCGGGAAUCUUGGGCAAUGGGCGCAAGCCUGACCCAGCAACGCCGCGUGAGGGAUGAAGGCCCUCGGGUCGUAAACCUCUGUCGGGAGGGAAGAAAUGGCCGUAGGCGAAUAGUCUACGGUUUUGACGGUACCUCCAAAGGAAGCACCGGCUAACUCCGUGCCAGCAGCCGCGGUAAUACGGAGGGUGCAAGCGUUGUUCGGAAUUACUGGGCGUAAAGCGGGCGCAGGCGGCUUGACAGGUCGGGUGUGAAAUCCCGGGGCUCAACUCCGGAACUGCACUCGAAACCGUCUCGCUAGAGUCCCGGAGAGGAUGGCGGAAUUCCCGGUGUAGAGGUGAAAUUCGUAGAUAUCGGGAGGAACACCAGCGGCGAAGGCGGCCAUCUGGACGGUGACUGACGCUCAUGUCCGAAAGCGUGGGGAGCAAACAGGAUUAGAUACCCUGGUAGUCCACGCCGUAAACGUUGAGUGCUCGUCGUCGCGGGUAUUGACCCCUGCGGUGACCAAGCUAACGCAUGAAGCACUCCGCCUGGGGAGUACGGCCGCAAGGCUA
rnacentral:rRNA from 1 species